CAGUGUUAGAGUUCAUUCACACGUUAAGAUGAAAAUAAUAACACGUUUUACGUUCCUAACUUUGCUGGUAGAUGUGUGGUUGCUCGGUCGGCCAGCUUCGGAAUAAAAGAAUAUUUUUAUUCAUCAGAAUCGUAAACAUCGAGUCAUUCAUUUUCAUACCAUAGUCAGUGCGAUUCAAAGAUGGCCGUAUAAUGUUUGUGCUCUGCAAGUGAUAGCGUGGAAAAGUGCAAGUUAAAAAGUGAAAUUCUGGCUUCAAACGUGUGCUGAAGAUCUUGAUAGGUUGAUGUGACUCCAAUCUGAACGGUAUAAAACUAUUUGCAAGACAUAUUGUUGCUAUUGAACUUGAAUUUUAUGGCAGUGUGCUUGACGAGAAUCACAUUGUUGUGAAAUAGUUGAACUUGAUAACGUGAAUAAUAGUGCUUAGAAUUAUUCUUGUUGGAUUAAUUGAAAAAUUGUGUGUAAUAAGAUUUGUUUAAGCGAGAAUAGACUGUAUACUCGCUAGCUGAAGUGUUUUACUGCGGGGCAUCCCCUUGGGAUCUGGGGAGCCAUAUUUGAAAAUAAUAACAAAGAAAAUCAUCUGUUUUCCACCCCGGACAAGUUUGAACGUGAAACGUAGAGUAGAUGAUAUAAUCGCUUUACUUUUUUCAUCAUCAUCUAAGUGGGUGUUCUACACAGGGUAAGUAUGUAUAACUAGUUGGUAGUACACUACAUAUUACUAAUAUUCGAAUACAAAUUCCCGUCCUGGGAAAAAUAUAUUGUUCCAUCUGGUUCAGCAGGAAAACAUGCGAUAUUUGUAUAUCUGGUUCGUAAACAUACCAAUACUGAUGACCGCACUUCAGUGUUUUUGAGUAGGGUAGGAAAUGGCUUGUGACUUGUGUGGCGAUCAAAACAUGCGGUUGAUAUCCCCGAGGUUUCCUCUGUGCUCUGGUGUCGGGGGUAAGAUGGGCGGAAUGUUUUGGUUCUUUAUUGAUUGCAUUACUGAUGCUAGAACCUGGGGGAGACGCUAUUGAUCUUUGUGCAGCAACGACUGUGGUAGUGCAGAUGGAAUAUACAUCAUUUCGUCGAUUGGUCUGCGUAGGACAGUGAUAAGUAUUGUGCGCUACGAUUAGUAGGAAUGUUUUGAAGUUUUUUCGCCAACCUACACACUUAGUUUUGUUUUCGCCAACUCGGCAAUUUUUGACGGGAUUUGCACAGAACAUUGCAAUAUAUUUUACUGAGAUCUCAGCAAACACGACGUUUGCUUGCUGAAAUUCAGCAAAAUUUAUUCCGAGAUUCAGUAAUCAAACUUCACUUUCGCUGAGAUCCCGGUGUAAAUCGUGGGGAGAAUUGUCGAGAUUCGGUUAACACAAUUAAGCGUGUUUUAGAUGAGCGAAGCUACACUCUAAAAGAAAAAAAAAAAGUAAAUUUAGACUUAUUUUUAUACAAAAUCCAGCCUCGCUGGUUUCACUCAUUCGAUGCAUAAAAUUGGAAUAUACUUUUUUCAGUUAUUUUGACAGGUAACCGUAUAUUUUGUGCAUAAUAACCAAAAAAAAAAAAUGCGUUUUAAGAGUAUUCAUAAGCUCAUGGGGAGUUUUUGUCAAACUUUUGAUUUAUUUUAAAGAUUUUAAAUCAAAGCACUUUUAUUUGGUUACUAUCGAGCAUAUCGAAAUUCAGUGAUUCAUCUGGUAUAUUCAUAUAAUUUAGUAAAUGAAUAAAAUUAGCCAUUUUUAAAAUAUGUAACAUUUGACAAAAUGCAUACAAUGAACUUAAACAUACUCACAUUUUUUUGCACCUUGGAACAAAUCAAUUUAAUUUCACGGAAUCUUUCCAUACCUCAAAGACAUUCAAGAUAUUUGGUGGGCAUUUUUUAUUACAAAAUAAGACAAUCCGUUCCAAGUGAUAGUUCAGCUCUAAGUGAUGUAGUAGACACUUAAAAAACUAAAGUUAAUUUAGACAGGCUGAUCAUAAAAAGUAUUUAAAAAUGCAUAUGCAUAGCGAUGUUUAAAUAAAGUUUAGUCAAAGCUGGCAUAGAAAAUACCCUAUUUACAACUUUCAUUAUUUCUGAGUGUAGUAUGAAUACUUUUUGCCCACAUUAGUAUGAUGAGGUGUCUUCUGAUUAUAGAGAUUGCUGACGUUUAUCGUACGCACACUACGUCACGUAUACUUAUACGCAAAAAUAUUUUUAUCAGGAAAAAAAAAACUUCAUAGCGGAACAUUUUUCUGAUGAAAACAGAUUACUGACACAAUCACACCUAAGCAAUCUCUAUGAUAAACUGAAAAUUUCCGAUAACCUAUAUUUGGUAGUGAACACCGAUUGAGACUGAGAAAAUUUGAUUAUUGGCUCGAUACAGGGAUGGAUCGCUCUUUUGCGACUUUUUCAUUACUUUUUAAUAAAAAAUGCUUGCGUUAAAUCCAAUUGAAUUUUCAGUUUUCCCAUCUUAAAAUAUAUAGAUUAGUGCUAUUAAUCUCCCUAUCGAAAUUCAAAAUUUCCGCACCGCAGAACCACACUCUGCGUUUUCACUAAAGGAGCACUUGAGAGCGCUCUCGAAGGUGCUGUGAAUACACAGAGCGUGGCUCUACGGUGCGAAAAUUUUGUAUUUUGAUAGGGAGAUUAAUAGCAUUAAACUAUCUAUUUUACGAUGGGUUAACUGAAAAAUUUACUUGAUUUCACGUUAGCAUUCUAUAGUAAAAAUAGAAAUGAUUUAUACCGAUUAUAUUAAAAUCUUGAGAAGCGAAGGUGAUUCACAGACAAACAGACAUAACUCUAACAUAUUUUUAAUAGAUCACGCAUUUAACGAUCCAUUUUAAUUUUUCUUAUUUGGUAGUUCCGCCGGUUGCUUGCAUAGUCAAUGCUGCGUUGAAGUUUACACACUACCGCCAACUGUUGAGCGUACUUCCCACGACAGUGUUCUCAACAAAUGGUGGUAGUGGUUUAUUGAUGAUGUUUUACAGUGAAACAUAUUCAAUGAGUUUUGACUGUGGUAGUUCUACUGUUCAUCCACUUAUUUCUGUAUACCAAAGAUGAGGACUAUUUCCAAAGCACGACCGCAUUUUUGACAUAGGACUACGAGAUUGUUUUUGUUGCUCGAUUUAAUAAUAAUUUCAAAAUUAUUGAUUUUUAAAUUUAAUGCCAAAAUCAACAUAUAUUUCAAUAUUAAAAAAAUUCCCAAUUAAUUUAUUUAUUAAGGCUCAAUUGCAACACAGAACUAACUAUCGUCGAGCCAAACAAAACUUCAAAACCAUUGCAAUAAAAUUGGGCGUUACCGCCGCUGCACGAUGCAAACGCCAAAUAAGCGCGCAGAGCUUUUUAUUCGGCAGCGCUUACAUAAAAUUCACAUGUGCUUGCGGCGGUAAGGCGCUCGCAUGAUACCUGUACAUCCAUACCGGAACCGGAAGUAAAUAUUGUGUCUGCGGGAUUCUAUGUUCGUUUUUGUUAGAAUCACAUAAUGUUACGAUAGAGAUUUUCACGCCCGGUUGUAUUGGUGCGCUGUGAGAAACUGUGGUAGUGAAAAUCCGAGGAAAAUACAUAACAAACGGCUGUCAAAUUCAUUUAGACAGAUCGAAUUACAUACAUUUUGAGGUUAGUUCGAGGAAAAUAAUAAACAACUUUACACAGUGAUAGAUCUUCGUUAGUGUGCGUGCUUUAAACGUCACUAAUCUCUAUAAGGAGCAUAAUACAAAAACGCAAACAUACACGGCGAAUGAGAACGACCCAAAUUUGAGUUUAGUUCACUCAUAAUCGCCAAAAUUGCAGGAACUCAUCGAUGAGUUAAUUUGCCUCAAGUUUUCCCAGGUUUUUCCAGGAUUUUACAGGGAAAAAUACCCGAAUUUGAGAAAAGUAAAGAUUGGAUUCACUCAGUCUAUUGGUACUACUCCGAGACUGAAUAAAAUUUUCGUCAAUUUCCUCAUUUUCCGGUAUAUUUUUUAGGUUUUCCACAGGAAACCAUGAGACAAAUUUUACUCAUCGCUGAGUUCCUGCACUUUUGGCGAUUAUGAGUGAACUAAACUCAAAUUUAGGUCGUUCUCAUUCACUACACAUGUUUACUUCAGUUACCGUGGGGACGUAAUUUGUGAUUAGUAUCGGUCCCUUUCAAAUUGUAUCAUUAUUUAUGUACGGUCCUUAUAUUUGAAAAUACGAUUGACAUUCAUCUACUGAUGGCCGAUUUUUAUUCGAAUAAUCGAUCAAUCGAUUAACGAACCGAAAAGUAAAAUAUUUGUAAUCGGUUAUAUCAGAGUUGAGAAUAGAAGAGUUGCGCAGACUGAAAACAAAAUCUACAUAUCGAACUGUCAAACCGUCUACCUAUCGAGCAUAGUAGACAAACUGACUCUGUUGCGUAGGAAGUAUUGUCAUCGAAACUAGAGGAAACUUUCACAACCCAGGUGAAGUCAUCCGAGGUGUAAACAAAAACAAAGGUUGCCAAAAUAAUAAAAAUGUCCAUUGAUCGACAUCAGUGUUACGAGCUUCACUCUGUGUAACUCUUCUAUUAUUAACUCGGGGUUAUAUCAUGCCGAUAUAAGCAUUAACUUCUCCAGAUAAUCAUCACCCAUCGUUUCAAACAUGUGCUGCACUUUCAUUGGUGGAAAAAUUGCAGCACAGCGAACAAAAAAUGAUCGAUUAGUUCUUAAAAAAUGAAAGAUUAGUUGUAAAUGGGACAUCUCUGAUAUUGGUGUGAUUGUUUUGAUAAAAAAGAGCGCAACAUUUCAUCUCUACGGAGGGGCAGCAAAACCACUAAACUACCUUGCCUACGGGGUAACAUUGGAUGAAAGGAACCGUGAAAGUGGAGACUAAAAUUGGGUUCUUUAGGGGUUUUAAGGUAAUUGGAUAUUCGUAAUCUGCAUCACAAAUGGAACCGAAAUCCAAAAUUUCAUCAAUUUUGGAGCACUUGAACUGUUUGAAAUAAGUGUGAUUACAUAAGCAAAACUCACCAUCUUAGCGCCCCUCAGUGGUACUUUGUAUGGGAGUGAGCUGUCAAUUUGUUAGUUUUGUGUCAAACAGCGCAUAAAUUUAAAUUUUUGAAGACCUUGUGUCAAUGGCGGCCUGAUUUUAACGAGAAUUACUCAUGAGUAAAACAAGUAGUCACAACAUUUUUUGAUUUUAUUGUUCCGAAAAACAUGUUUUUAUGUGAUAUGAGCAUUUAGAACCAUGGUCCUAAAGUAAACAUACAUCAAUAUAUUACUACUAAUUCCUGUUCAUUCUUGCUCACUUGGACUGGACUUGGAGAUGCGUGGACUGAAAUUGAUCAAAUUUCAAAUGUGAACACAGUAUUGCCAAUAGCACGCUGUGGCUAUCAGUUGCGUCGAAUUAUUUUCUCUGAAACGGCAAUAACAAUUGGGUAGAGUGCGCCGUGCAUGUACUGACUGUGUAUAAAGCCUCGGCUUCGUGCAACACUGGCCAGUGGCACAUCUCAAAAUCUGACCUUUUUCAUUUUAUCACCUUGACAUUAGGCGAUUACCGGUUUUUAUAGUAGCGGUAUAGUAGGUCCUGAUUCGAAACGAAAACAUUUUAAAUGACAGAAAAUUUCAUCGAAUCAACAAUGUUUAGGAAUUGGAAAAAUUAUAAA